rnacentral:lncRNA from 1 species
CUACAUGUCGUAGGAAGUACCCGAUGGGAAGUAAUUGAAUCAUGGGGCGGGUCUUUCCCACGCUGUUCUCGUGAUGGCGAAUAAGUCUCACGAGAUCUGAUGUUUUAUAAAGGAGACUUCCCUGUGCAACUCUCUCUUGCCUGCCGCCUGGGAAGAUGUCUCCUGCUCUUCCAUCAUGAUCAUGAGGCCUCCUCAGCCAUGUGGAACAGUGAGGACUGUUGGCUCCUUAUCUUCCACAUUGAAGGGACUGAGAAAAGGCUCUGAGAACUUAAGAACCUCGACCAAGUCGCACAUCAGGUCUAAGAGCCAUUUGACAUUCUGGACCACGAUUUCCCACCCACACAGUCUGCCUGAUGCUUGUUAAUGACCCAUCACAAUGGUUUUGCUUCUCUGCUGCAUAGAUUCAGAGCAGGACCUGAUGACCUUCUUAAGAGCAGCCAGAGAAGCCUGAACUGCAUGAAGAUCAGGUUUUGGGGUACAUGUGAAGAACAUACAAGAUUGUUGCAUAGGUACACACAUGGCAGUGUGAUAUGCUGCCUUCCUCCCCAUCACCUGUAUCUGGCAUUUCUCCCCAUGCUAUCUCUCCCCAACUCCCCACCCCCCGCUGUACCUCCCCUAUUUCCCCCCGACAGACCCCAGUGUGUGAUGCUCCCCUCCCUGUGUCCAUAUGUUCUCAUUGUUCAACACCCGCCUAUGAGUGAGAACAUGCGAUGUUUGAUUUUCUGUCCUUGUGUCAGUUUGCUGAGAAUGAUGGUUAGGCGUUUCUUUAUAGCAAUGAGAGAGUGGCCUGAUACAAAGACGUUGUCGCUCAGAGGGAAUUUUGGUUACUCAUUUGUCCUCCUCCCCAAAUUCAUAUCCUGA